GACGAACGCUGGCGGCGUGCUUAACACAUGCAAGUCGAACGGAAAGGCCUGCUUUCCCUUGUGGAUUGCGGGUACUCGAGUGGCGAACGGGUGAGUAACACGUGAGUGAUCUGCCCCCAACUUGGGUAUAAGCCUGGGAAACUGGGUCUAAUUCCCGAUAGGACUGCAGGGUGGUGCCUGUGGUGGAAAACGAUUUUCUAGUGGUUGGGGAUGAGCUCGCGGCCUAUCAGCUUGUUGGUGGGGUAAUGGCCUACCAGGGCGGCGACGGGUAGCCGGCCUGAGAGGGUGGACGGCCACAUUGGGACUGAGAUACGGCCCAGACUCCUACGGGAGGCAGCAGUGGGGAAUAUUGCACAAUGGGCGGAAGCCUGAUGCAGCGACGCCGCGUGGGGGAUGACGGCCUUCGGGUUGUAAACUCCUUUCGACCGCGAGGAAGCCACCUGGUUGGAAGGGUGGUGACGGUAGUGGUAGAAGAAGCACCGGCUAACUACGUG
rnacentral:rRNA from 1 species